CUUGGUCCGGCACUCGGCGGCCCCGCGCGGGUAGCCCCGGCGCCGCAUCCCCUGGGCGAUGCGCUCGAAGGUCUCCAGGUUGCGGUGGCUGGUGCGCAGCUCCUCCUGGACCUGGCGCUGGCCCCACAGCUGGAGCAGGGCCACCGUCUCCUGGUACUGCCACGAGCUGCCCCGGCCCUUCUUGGCCAGCAGCAGGCCCCCCCGCCGCGGCGCCGCCAGGGCCCCCACCGCCUCCCCGGUGCUGUNUUCUGCAAAACAAGAAAAGAGACCGAGAGAGAGAAAGAGAGAGAGACACACACACCGCCUCAAGUUUCCGGGGGGGGGGACACCUUCUACUUUUUCAGAACCCACUCAAGCAACCUAUCUGAGCGCUGGUUUGGUUCUUCUAAGGGCGAGUCUUUUGUAAAGUGAACGGCUCUUAACGGCCUGUUCAUGACCCAAACACGGUCCUCCGCUCUGCCUGUGGACAGGAAAAAAAAUCUAUUCCUCUUCCAGUGACUGGGUGAGGAUCGUGGCCAAAGUGAAGAGGGGUCAAGGAAGAAUGGUGAAGUAAGGACAAAGGACACCCUAAUUAAAAAAAGCAUUGCCUUUCAGUUUUUGACAGCCACGGGGGGUGGGGGGGGUGGCGCCAUUGCUCACCUGGUCUUUGAUGGCAUUCUGGACCGGCGUUCGCUCCGGCCCCCUCGGGCCCCCUGGGGCUGGUCCACAAAGACGUUCUCGUACUCCUGGUGGCCAGGGGGGCUCCUGGCCGUGUCUCCCAGCGGGCUGGUGUGGCUGAUGUAGCGCGGCUGCCCGAGGCCAGCGUCGGAGGCCUUGGAGGCCCGCUUGUCGUGGCCAAGGGAGGCCACCUUUCUCCUCUGGACGAAGGCGUAGACCAGGAGGGCCGCCAGAAGCAGAGCCACAGGUGGCAAGAUGAUGGCCACGUACAGGGCCGCUCUCGUGGCGCUCCCGUGGCAUUCCUGGGCAUAGAAGUCGGUUAGGUUCAAGCGGCCCUGGGAGGAGGAGGAGGUACACUGGCACGCCGCGCUGGGCGUGCAGUUGAGGCAGGCAGUGUAGAGAUCCUUGGCCUCCUCGCAGGUGCAGGUGGCGUUGUGGCCCCUGUCCCACGAGGGGCACGUGGCAUGCGCCAGAUGACCGAGGUGCAAGGCCAGCAGCCCAGCCAGGAAAAGCCCUCCCAUCCUGUGAGGAAAAAGGCACAAGGAAGACACAAUAAAUUUCAGGAAGGCUGGACUCCCCGGAAGUGG
rnacentral:lncRNA from 1 species